rnacentral:tRNA from 1 species
CGAAGGCGGUGGCGUACUCGGCCACGCGCCUGCCGAUCCGGCCGAAGCCGACGAUGCCGAGGCGGCGCCCGGCCAGUUCGACGCCGAACGUCUUCGGCCA